GGCAGCAUAGAAUCGGCUAAAUUCAAAAUGGUUACUCUGAAGCUUGCGUUUGCCCUCACCAUUUUGGUAUCCUGUGCCUUGGCUGACCUGAGGUACUUUGGUCACUCUCCCUCAGUUGUCAUCAGUCACGGUGUUUCACACGGUGGGUUUGGAAACCCUUAUUAUGGAUAUGGGACCACAAUCACUCCAGCUCUUGGAGGUUACGUAGGCUCCUACAGAACUUAUGGAGGCCCCGUUGUUGGUCGAGUUUUCAGAACCACCCAAUUUGGAGGUCAUGGAUUCCCUCUCGUUGGAAGUAGUGUUAUUCACGGAGGAGUCUAUGGCCAUUCCUACUGGUAACAGAUAUACAAAUAUAAUUAGUUUAUAUAAAACGUAAAUAAAACUGUGUAAAUAUU